UGGGGAAUAUUGCGCAAUGGGCGAAAGCCUGACGCAGCGACGCCGCGUGAGGGAUGAAGGUUUUCGGAUCGUAAACCUCUGUCAGAAGGGAAGAAACCGCACUGUGCUAAUCAGCAGUGCCUUGACGGUACCUUCAAAGGAAGCACCGGCUAACUCCGUGCCAGCAGCCGCGGUAAUACGGAGGGUGCAAGCGUUAAUCGGAAUUACUGGGCGUAAAGCGCACGUAGGCUGCUUUGUAAGUCAGGGGUGAAAUCGCACGGCUCAACCGUGGAACUGCCUUUGAUACUGCUUAGCUUGAAUCCGGGAGAGGGUGGCGGAAUUCCAGGUGUAGGAGUGAAAUCCGUAGAUAUCUGGAGGAACAUCAGUGGCGAAGGCGGCCACCUGGACCGGUAUUGACGCUGAGGUGCGAAAGCGUGGGGAGCAAACAGG
rnacentral:rRNA from 1 species